rnacentral:rRNA from 1 species
UACGUAGGGUGCGAGCGUUGUCCGGAAUUACUGGGCGUAAAGAGCUCGUAGGUGGUUUGUUACGUCUGCUGUGAAAACCUAGGGCUUAACCCUGGGCUUGCAGUGGAUACGGGCAGACUAGAGGUAGGUAGGGGAGAAUGGAAUUCCUGGUGUAGCGGUGAAAUGCGUAGAUAUCAGGAGGAACACCGGUGGUGUAGACGGCUAUCUGGACCGUAACUGACGCUGAGGCACGAAAGCGUGGGUAGCAAACAGG